UUUUUUUUUUUUUUUUGUCUUUUUAGGGCUGCACCUUGCUUGGCAUAUGGAGAGGUUCCCAGACUAGGGGUCGAAUCGGAGCACAGUUUUCACAGACCAGGGUAAUGCUGGUUGGUGGGUUCUCUCCUGCGUAAGUUUUCUACAGCUGGAAUUGGUACAAGGUGGAGACUGGUGAUCUGGGUUUGUCUUUGUUGCUGAUUUGUCUGAGGUCACCAAGCGAGUAGCUUAGCCUUAGUAUCAUUAUCAUCAUAUGAGGAUAAUGCCCUAAAAAUUACAGAGACCAGACAGAGAAUAUAAAUAAAAUACAAAGUUCAGAUAUGACCCAAGUGUAUGCAAAAAUUUAGUAUAUAAUAAGGGAAGCAUUCAAAUCAAUGGUAAAAGAACAGCUUACUCAGCAAACAGUGUUGAGAUAACUGGGUACCUAGUCACUGGGGAAAGCAUGUUAGAUUCUUGCCUGACACUUGCUAAAAUAAAGAUGCAUUGAAGAUUUAGAGCUUUUUGUUUGUUCGUUUGUUUGUUUGUUUUUUGGCCGUACUCAUGGCAUGCGGAAGUUCCCAGGCCAGGGAUCAAACCUGUGCCACAGCAGUGACCCAAGCCAUGGCGUGACAAUGCUAGGCCACCAGAGAACACCAGUUUAAAGUAUUUAAAAGUGAAACUACAAACAUUCCAGAAGAAAAUGGAGAUGAAUACUUCUUAUGGUUCGGGGGUACUGUCAUAAGGAAAAAAUAUCCAAUAUUGGAUGGUGCAAAAUAAAAAAAGGUCAUAAUAAAAGUUAAAAGUCAAGUGAGGAGCUGAGAAAAUAGCCUUCCUAUAGAUGAUACUCUCAUAAAAAUCAUUCAGAGGAUUCUCUGGUGGCUCUGCAGAUUAAGGAUCCAGGAUUGUCACUGCUGUGGCACGGGUUCCAUCCCUGGCCCUGGAACUUCUGCAGGCCCCAGGUGUAGUCCAAAAAAAGAAUCAUUCAGAAAGAGGAAAUAUCCAGUACGAAGUGGGUAAAGAACAUGAAGAAAUUCAUAAAAGAAGAAAGAAGUGGAAAGAAGAUAAUAUUAAUUGGGCAGGAGUCUUGGGUUCAAGCAACAGGAAUUCGGUCUGAACAAGGAUGAUGCAGACCAAUAGGAGCUCAUCUGGGAGGAUACUGGGCACUUUGCACCUCAUGGGGAGGGUGGGGAGUUCAGGGGCCAGAAUGGCCUCAGGGUCCCUGUGACCUGGAACUUGGACACCCACUCUCUCCAUCGCUCACAUCUGCUUCUUCAUCUACCCACUUCCCGUGUCCUCACAGCUUUCUCCCUGUGUUGGAGAAACGUAUCUGGGUUUUGCAUCUCAUUGCUUCCACCACUGCAGGGAGGCUGGUAUUUCCCUCUCCAUUCUGAUAAGACAAAUCCUGAGGAAUGACUCCUAUUGGCCUGUGUUCUGUCAGUGGAUCUCUCUUCCGCAAUGAGGAUAGAUCGCAGGCAUCAAUUCUUAGAUUGCAGGCCAUGGGGGGAAGUCAGAAGACAUGGUUGGUGGCUCUGGUUACAGCCGGAGGGGAUGGGGUUGUAAGUGGGGAGGUGGUUUCUAGGGGGAAAAAAGAGAUGUGCAGUAUGUGAGGAUACAAGAAGUUACCCUCGAUCUCACUAGAAAGCAGAAUCUUAUAUGUGCGUAAUCUUUGACGGGCAGAGAUUUUAAACAUUGAUAAUGCCUCUUUAAGGAAGUGUGGGUAAAUAAGUUCUUUCAAACAUUGUAUUUCCACUACUGAUAGGAGUGUAAAUUAGUAAGUCUUUCUUAAGGAGUGUUUGGCAGUAUAUACAUCAAAAAGCUUAAAAUUGUGUAACCCUUGGCCUUCACGUUCCAUUUCUAAAAUAUUUUCUGGAAAGAGGCAAAAUCAAUGCACAAGUGCUAUGCAGGAGCUUGUUCAGUAAAGGGUAUUUAUAAUAGACGUCGGAAACAAUUUCAGUGACCUUUGGUAGAGGCUUGAUAAAAUGAAUUGUGGUAGUUCCUGUUGUGGCGCAACAGAAAUGAAUCCGACUAGCAACCAUGAGGUUUCAGGUUCAAUCCCUGGUCUCGCUCAGUGGGUUAAGGAUCUGGCAUUGCCGUGAGCUGUGGUGUAGGUCGAAGACGAGGCUUGGAUCUGAUGUUGCUGUGGCUGUGGCGUAGGCCAGCAGCUACAGCUCCAAUUCCACCCCCAGCCUGGGAACCUUCAUAUGCUGAAAGAGCAGCCGUAAAAAAGAAUUGUGGCAUAUUUAAAGAAUGGGCUCAUAUGUAGUCAUGAAGAAUUUUGGGAAUCUAUUCUUACUGACAUGGAGAGAUGAUCACAACAUAGUGAAUGGAGGUUGCAAAAACCUGAGUUUUAUGCAGUGAGCCUUUAUUAUAAUUAGAAAAACAAAGAUUUCCAUUGGAGGGGGAUGACAGUUUGUGUCUUAUAAAUGUAAGGCCAUUUGAUGGGAACAUAAAGAAAUAAAUCAUUAAAAAAAAUGAACAUGCCAGGCCCUCUGGAUCUCACCAAGGGUUGUCCUUCUUAGCAUUUCACUGUGAUAAGUCAUAAGAUUAUUCCAGCCAUCUUGCUCAAAUGAUUCUCAAAAUUUCUUCUUGGACUCAUUUGUUGACUGAUUAGUUUGACUGAAACUGUGAAUAAAUGCCUUAGUGUAUUUAGUGCACUUUUUUUUUUUUUUGUCUCUGCUAGGUGAUGAAGUGUCUUUGUCUUUCAAAUAUGAAUUUGAUUUUUGGAAAAAGCUUACAUUCUUAUUGUUGGCUUUGGUAUAUAAGGCAGACAGGCCCUCUGGGUGGUAGUUUUUUUUUUUUUUGCUUUUUAGGCCAGGCCUGCAGCAUAUGGAAGUUCCCAGGCUAGGGGUUGAAUCGGAGCUGUAGCUGCGGGCAUACACCACAGCCACAGCAGCAUCAGAUCCAAGCUGUGUCUGCGACCUACACCACAGCUCACGGCAACGCCGGAUCCUUAACCCACUGAGUGAGGCCAGGGAUCGAACCUGCAUCCUCAUGGAUACUCAUCAGAUUCCUUUCUGCUUUGCCACGAUGGGAACUUUUGCAGGUGGGAGGAGGAGGCAAGUGUGGAGAAUGGAAUUCUUCCUCAUGCCCUGAGCAGCAUUGGGGUUGAUCUAAAUCUCCCCUGGGGCGCCUGCUUUGUUAGGCGGGGUUCUUCUGGGUGUGUGGCACUGUGUGUUUGCUUCAACAGCAACCGGCACUGUUUGCUUAUCUUAUCCUCCUGUAGCAGUUGGUGGGAGGUGAUACUUGGAUUCUCCUGUGACAGCCUAGGGAGCUGAUGAAGAGACACGGUGGCUGUCUGGAAUCUUGUAGCCA
rnacentral:lncRNA from 1 species